UGUCCUGACACAGAAGGUAUACUGUCAGUCAAAAAAAAACUAAAGGACAAUGGAUGCAAGGAUGAAGUCCUUCGCACCAACCUGGAUUUUGCUGAGCGAGUCUUCAGACACAGUCUACUUAACAAAGAUGUGACUCUGCUGGUCAAAGGUCAAUGGCAAUCUGUGCAAAUUGGUUUAGAUCAAGAGGUCGUCUACACUGUGUCAUCGGAAGAUGGUCAAACACAAAUCGACUGUGCUGUCUGCUGUUAUAAUGAUACUAUUUUGUGGGAGCAUGUUAAGAGUCUUCAUUUCAGUGUUCAUUCCUGCCAAGAUGAGAGUAAAUCAUGUUUUAAACAAGCCCAAGAGAUGUUGAAAACCAAAAUACAGGCACUUACAAUCACAUGCAACAGGUUUUCGAUCACCUACACAGCUAUGUCUGCACAUUUAUCAGUAUAUAAAAGGAAGAGUGUAUCCAUCAAAACUAAAUGUAAGUUUCAUUUUAAUCAGAUAACUGUUAAGGGUUUGCUGAAGAAGAAAUGCUGGCUGGAAAAAGAGAAACCGAAAUGCAGCGAGCUGAAAAAAUGCCUCGACUUUCUAAUAGAGAAAUAUCUCACCAUGCCUGAAUCUCCGAAGUUGAACUGCAAGUUCAUUUUACAGGGAGAUCAAGAAAUGCUGGAAAUCUCUUCAGCAUGUCCAGAUAACAAAAUCCAGAAAGAAUACAUUUUGAUUAUUGACUCCAAGGUGUCUAUGUAUCCACCAGCUUGGUAGUAAGCUAGAAGUGAUCCGAAUCUUUUGUAAUCGUUUGUUAAUCUGUAAUCUGCUUGUUCUCAUGUUAAUUUCAAGCACAGUUCAAAGCAGGGACAGACAUUUUGACUAUUUUUGCUGUUGUAGUACUUGAUAAUUUACUAAUUUUCACUAAGCUUUUAUUCAGGUCAUGUUAUAAACAUGAUCUCAUCCUGCAGAAGAGAAACAUGCUCAAUCAGUUGCCUUUUCAUUUUUAUUUCAGUCAGACAUUGUUAAGUACAGAACUUGCAAAUGACUUAUGUAAUAGUUAUAAUUUUUGUCAUUUAUUCCACAUCUUUAUCUAUACAAGGACUUUUACACCUCAUGUAGGUACAAAAACUAUUUUAAGUUGUGUUAUGUAAAGUUGGUUGUCAUGCAGGUUGUCUUUGCAGUUUAAACUAGCGUGUUCACUACAUUUUAUUUGGUGCUUGGAGCAAGCUCAGGUUGCUAGUGAUUAUCCACCAUCUUCGUCCUCAUCCCACGUCCAAAUGGACAAAAAUGUAUUAAACUUUAGCUUUAAAAAAGAAGCAAAGAAACACUGAGAAAGCCAAUAAAUGUAGAAGUGUUAACUUGACAGAGCAUUAUAGAUGUUCUUAUUUAGAAUCCCAGAUAUGCUUUAUGUUCAGUAAACAUUCCUCACUGUAGUACACUGUCUAAAAACCAAUCCAGUUAAAACCUAUUGCAUGGUUAUAUUUGUUUGGACAAAAAGAGUGCAAGGUUAGUGUUUGCUUAAGUGCUUAGUGAAGAGAUGGUAAAGAUCUUCAGUCCCAUCCAGAGGAAGUGUAUUUCAACACCAUGCAGAGAACAGACUUGAAGCUUGUCUUCUUAAAGUCCAGAGAUGGGUGAAGUCCAACCAGUCUUGUGGCUCAGAAGGUACAGAGCUGUGUUUAACAUACAAGAACAAACACCAAGUUGCUCCUUAAUUAGUGUAAAAUAACAGUAAUGGAAUAAGUGUAGCGACCAUAUAGCUCUUUUUCCUUCAAGAUGAAAUAGUUCUGCUUUACACCAACCAGCCUGCUUAAAUAUUUAAAUACUGCUAUGUUGAAUUACUUUAUGUACAAUUAUUAUACUGAACAUUGCUUUUGUAUGCACAUGUAAUAUUUUUCUUUGUUGGGAUGAAGAUUAAACCCAUUUAUAAGUGGUUGUAGUUAAAAUUGUGGUUAAAAUUGUUCUUCAGUGCUUAAAAAGAUUAUUGAAGGCUGGACCAAGGGGACCAUUAGAAUUUGUUUGUAGGCAAAUUCCCAACAAGCUCUUGGUCAGGUGUCCACAAACCUUCAGCCAUUUGUGGUAAAAAAAAAGAAGGGUUUCUAGAUUAUUUUUUGUCAUAACAUUUAAUUAUUAAAUCUUUUUCAUUUGCUCUGAUUGGAAGCGAUUAAGAUAGUCAGUGUGAUUCUAGGUAAAAAAAAAGUGUUAUUGUGUUUUAUUCAGGGGAAUUUUAAUGGAUUAAAAGUAUCAGAAGUUCUGCAGAUUUAAUUCUCGUAUGUUCCUUUAAGAAGCAAAUUGUUCCUGUUCAGGAAACGAAACUUCAGUGUUUACUGGGACAGUGAGACUGGUCAGCUUGUUUCUAUUGUGCAGAAAACCUGAUAAUCAGAAUCAGAGAUCUACAGACAUGGUUUGUCUUUGCUGAAAGAGAAAUAUUUUUUCCCCAAUACCAAUCUCUCUUCUGCAUUGUGAUUAGAUAUGGAGACAUUCGAUGUCUAUCCUGACACAGAAGGUAUACUGUCGGUCAAAGAAAAGCUAAAGAACAAUGGAUGCAAGGAUGAAGUCCUUCGCACCACGCUGGAUUUUGCUGAGCGAGUCUUCAGACACAGUCUACUUAACAAAGAUGUGACUCUGCUGGUCAAAGGUCAAUGGCAAUCUGUGCAAAUUGGUUUAGAUCAAGAGGUCGUCUACACUGUGUCAUCGGAAGAUGGUCAAACGCAAAUCGACUGUGCUGUCUGCUGUUAUAAUGAUACUAUUUUGUGGGAGCAUGUUAAGAGUCUUCAUUUCAGUGUUCAUUCUUGCCAAGAUGAGAGUAAAUCAUGUUUUAAACAAGCCCAAAAGAUGUUGAAAACCAAAAUACAGGCACUUACAAUCACAUGCAACAGGUUUUCGAUCACCUACACAGCUAUGUCUGCAGAUUUAUCAGUAUAUGAAAGGAAGAGUGUAUCCAUCAAAACUAAAUGUAAGUUUCAUUUUGAUCAGAUAACUGCUAAGGGUUUGCUGAAGAAGAAAUGCUGGCUGGAAAAAGAGAAACCGAAAUGCAGCGAGCUGAAAAAAUGCCUUAACUUUCUAAUAGAGAAAUAUCUCACCAUGCCUGAAUCUCCAUCGAACUGCAAGUUCAUUUUACAGGGAGAUCAAGAAAUGCUAGAAAUCUCUUCAGCAUGUCCAGAUAACGAAAUCCAGAAAGAAUACAUUUUGAUUAUUGACUCAUGUUCGAAGGUAACUAUGUUUCCACCAGCUUGGUAGUAAGCUAGAGUAGUAAGUUAGGUACAGAGCUGUGUUUAACAUACAAGAACAAACACCAAGUUGCUCCUUAAUUAGUGUAAAAUAACAGUAACUGAAAGUGUAGUGACCAUUUAAAUACUGCUAUGUUUAAUUACUUUAUGUACAAUUAUUAUACUGAACAUUGCUAUCAUGUAAUAUUUCUUUCUUGGAAUGA